UAUUUACAUGAAAACAGUGAGUAAAUUAUGUAAAUUUUUCAUGUUUUUGUUUUUUAGAUGACUUCUGGCCAUGAAAAAAUGGGUUCAUUAGAAAUAAAAGAUGGUGUCAAAAAUGCAACUGACCUCAUUAAAGCUGACGGCGUGUUAUAUAGCCGUUUAGCAGGGGCAGUGGCAGACAAAUGUUGCAUCUAAUGGCUAUGCAAUCGAUUUUUUAAAGAGCUAAGGACUUCCUGUCAUCUACGAGCUCUGCCACCUUGUGGAUAAGUGAAUUCAAUGGGUCACGUCGACAUUAUUUUGCGACACCUGCUUCAAGAAUGCGUAUCGAAGUCAACAUAUAUGGAUAAGAUUAAAGAUAGUUCAGUAUUUUGUGUUUGAUAUUGGAAUUUGGUAUUGUGCCCUCAUGAAGAGUUUGGGCACACUAUAUAAUAAUAGCGCGCUCGUGAUGAGUUUGUCGUCGAAAGCCAUGGAGUGUGGGAGGGUCUACUGCGAAUAAAACAUACAUACAUGCACGCUUAAACACUUUUGGCUUGUGUUCUAGAGGCGGGUCGCCCCAUCGCAGCCGUAUGUUAAAGGCAACUCCCACCCGAGUGACGACAACAGUUUUUUAUUAAUUUUUUUAGGGAAAUAAUUUUUAUUAUGGAGUUGGAUCUGCUCCACAGCAAAUGAACCAAACAAAUUUGCAAGAAGCUGCCCGUCUUUUGGCAGAUGUAUUUAGGUGGUCAGGUGCAGCAGCAGCAGCAGCACAAUCAGCACCACCACCACCACCAACCGAAGAGACACUGGCUUUUUCAAGUGCAGCAGUACCAACACCCACACCACCAACCCCAGCAGCUUCAAGCCGAACCUCGACCCCGUUAUUUCCAUCACCCUCACCACCCAACCCCCCAAAAAAAGAGGGUUUACAAAAAAUCAAAAUCCAACUCCUUCUGGAUGAUUCCAGAAGGUCCGAGGGACGACGGUAUAGAGCCCCGAAUUUUUGAAUGCACUCCCACUCAGUGCAAAUAUUGCUUUGCGAAAUUUCGCACAAAGUGGGAGUGUCAGGAGCAUGUGGAGACAUGCCUCGAAAUACCAAAAACGUUUCCGUGCAACCUUUGCCCUUUUAUUGGGAAAACAGCAAAGGGGAACCACGUUAGAUUUUGCAGUGGUGAAAACGGUAAAAUAUUCGUUCAAUAUAUUCCUUGCAGAAUACAGAUAAAAAUGGAUGGAAUUAAAAAACAAGGAUAGUAUCAAUGAAGUCGGAACGUAUUCCGAGGUUCAGUUUUAAUUUCCUCGUUUAUGCUCAUCGCCUCCGCCGUCUUGGCCUGAGCUUCCGCCGCUGCCACCUACAGCCAGCCUAUGUGGUCAAGAGCGCCGCUGACAUCCAGCCCGAGGGCAAAUACCCCUACAACUCCACCGGUGGCUUCUCCUCGUACUCUGCUGAGGGUGAGCUUUUUCAGAUCUAGUAUCUGGCUGACGCCAACGGGAACCCACUUAAAAAAACGCGCCUAUCAUUCUACCUCAAAGGUGGUGCGAAAAAGAGUGAUUUUAUAUUAUCAUAGCAUUAGGAAUGGGAAUUUAAGGUGGCCUUAAUUCUAAACUACUUUUGAUCUACUUGUUAAAAUUGUUAAAUUGUCUCAAUGCACCGGUUUUAAAUUUUCAGAAA